rnacentral:rRNA from 1 species
UACGUAGGGGGCAAGCGUUGUCCGGAUUUAUUGGGCGUAAAAGGCUUGUAGGUGGCCACGCCAAGUCGGAUGUGAAAUCUCCCGGCUCAACUGGGAGGGGUCAUUCGAUACUGGCGGGCUCGAGGCCGGUAGGGGGAAGUGGAAUUCCCGGUGUAGUGGUGGAAUGCGUAGAUAUCGGGAGGAACACCAGUGGCGAAGGCGGCUCCUGGACCGGUUCUGACACUGAGGAGCGAAAGCGUGG